UGGGGAAUUUUGGACAAUGGGGGCAACCCUGAUCCAGCAAUGCCGCGUGAGUGAAGAAGGCCUUCGGGUUGUAAAGCUCUUUUGUCAGGGAAGAAACGGUAGUAGCGAAUAACUACUACUAAUGACGGUACCUGAAGAAUAAGCACCGGCUAACUACGUGCCAGCAGCCGCGGUAAUACGUAGGGUGCAAGCGUUAAUCGGAAUUACUGGGCGUAAAGCGUGCGCAGGCGGUUGUGUAAGUCAGAUGUGAAAUCCCCGGGCUCAACCUGGGAAUUGCAUUUGGGACUGCACGGCUAGAGUGUGUCAGAGGGGGGUAGAAUUCCACGUGUAGCAGUGAAAUGCGUAGAUAUGUGGAGGAAUACCGAUGGCGAAGGCAGCCCCCUGGGAUAACACUGACGCUCAUGCACGAAAGCGUGGGGAGCAAACAGGAUUAGAUACCCACGUAGUCCCUGAGCGGGCUGGCAAGGCGCAU
rnacentral:rRNA from 1 species